rnacentral:rRNA from 1 species
GAUGAACGCUGGCGGCGUGCCUAAUACAUGCAAGUCGAGCGAACAGACGAGGCGCUUGCUCCUCUGACGUUAGCGGCGGAUGGGUGAGUAACACGUGGAUAACCUACCUAUAAGACUGGGAUAACUUCGGGAAACCGGAGCUAAUACCGGAUAAUAUAUUGAACCGCAUGGUUCAAUAGUGAAAGACGGUUUUGCUGUCACUUAUAGAUGGAUCCGCGCCGCAUUAGCUAGUUGGUAAGGUAACGGCUUACCAAGGCGACGAUGCGUAGCCGACCUGAGAGGGUGAUCGGCCACACUGGAACUGAGACACGGUCCAGACUCCUACGGGAGGCAGCAGUAGGGAAUCUUCCGCAAUGGGCGAAAGCCUGACGGAGCAACGCCGCGUGAGUGAUGAAGGUCUUCGGAUCGUAAAACUCUGUUAUUAGGGAAGAACAAAUGUGUAAGUAACUAUGCACGUCUUGACGGUACCUAAUCAGAAAGCCACGGCUAACUACGUG